CCUACUGGGCGCAGCAGUGGAGAAUAUUGGACAAUGGGCGCAAGCCUGACCCUGCAACGCCGCGUGGAGGAAUAAAGCUUUCCGGUUGUAAACUUCUUGUAAGAUGGAAGAGCAGAAGAAGGUACCUCUUGAAUAAGCCACAGCUAACUAAGUGCCAGCAGCCGCGGGAAUACGUAGGUGGCAAGCGUUGUACGGAUUUACUGGGUGUAAAGGGAGUGUAGCCGGGAAGAAAAGUCAGAUGUGAAAGCCCGCGGCUCAACCGCGGAACUGCACUUGAAAUUGAUUUUCUUGAGUAACGGAGAGGUCAUCGGAAUUCCGUGUGUAGCGGUGAAAUGCGUAGAUAUAAGGAAGAACACCAGUGGCGAAGGCGGAUGACUGGACGGCAACUGACGGUGAGGCGCGAAAGCGUGGGGAGCGAACAGGAUUAGAUACCCCUGUAGUC
rnacentral:rRNA from 1 species